GGUUGCGUCAAGUGAUACCGAGGCGUAGCAAACUGCGAAUACCGUCCAGUUGAAAGCGGGGGACACACGGUGGGUGCUAACGUUCAUCGUGGAGAGGGAAACAACCCGGACCGCCGGCUAAGGUCCCGAAGUUCAGAUUAAGUGGGAAACGAUGUGGGAAGGCCCAGACAGCCAGGAUGUUGGCUUAGAAGCAGCCAUCAUUUAAAGAAAGCGUAAUAGCUCACUGGUCGAGUCGGCCUGCGCGGAAGAUGUAACGGGGCUAAACCAUGCACCGAAGCUGCGGCAGCGACACUAUGUGUUGUUGGGUAGGGGAGCGUUCUGUAAGCCUGUGAAGGUGUGCUGUGAGGCAUGCUGGAGGUAUCAGAAGUGCGAAUGCUGACAUAAGUAACGAUAAAGCGGGUGAAAAGCCCGCUCGCCGGAAGACCAAGGGUUCCUGUCCAACGUUAAUCGGGGCAGGGUGAGUCGACCCCUAAGGCGAGGCCGAAAGGCGUAGUCGAUGGGAAACAGGUUAAUAUUCCUGUACUUGGUGUUACUGCGAAGGGGGGACGGAGAAGGCUAUGUUGGCCGGGCGACGGUUGUCCCGGUUUAAGCGUGUAGGCUGGUUUUCCAGGCAAAUCCGGAAAAUCAAGGCUGAGGCGUGAUGACGAGGCACUACGGUGCUGAAGCAACAAAUGCCCUGCUUCCAGGAAAAGCCUCUAAGCAUCAGGUAACAUCAAAUCGUACCCCAAACCGACACAGGUGGUCAGGUAGAGAAUACCAAGGCGCUUGAGAGAACUCGGGUGAAGGAACUAGGCAAAAUGGUGCCGUAACUUCGGGAGAAGGCACGCUGAUAUGUAGGUGAAGUCCCUCGCGGAUGGAGCUGAAAUCAGUCGAAGAUACCAGCUGGCUGCAACUGUUUAUUAAAAACACAGCACUGUGCAAACACGAAAGUGGACGUAUACGGUGUGACGCCUGCCCGGUGCCGGAAGGUUAAUUGAUGGGGUUAGCGCAAGCGAAGCUCUUGAUCGAAGCCCCGGUAAACGGCGGCCGUAACUAUAACGGUCCUAAGGUAGCGAAAUUCCUUGUCGGGUAAGUUCCGACCUGCACGAAUGGCGUAAUGAUGGCCAGGCUGUCUCCACCCGAGACUCAGUGAAAUUGAACUCGCUGUGAAGAUGCAGUGUACCCGCGGCAAGACGGAAAGACCCCGUGAACCUUUACUAUAGCUUGACACUGAACAUUGAGCCUUGAUGUGUAGGAUAGGUGGGAGGCUUUGAAGUGUGGACGCCAGUCUGCAUGGAGCCGACCUUGAAAUACCACCCUUUAAUGUUUGAUGUUCUAACGUUGACCCGUAAUCCGGGUUGCGGACAGUGUCUGGUGGGUAGUUUGACUGGGGCGGUCUCCUCCUAAAGAGUAACGGAGGAGCACGAAGGUUGGCUAAUCCUGGUCGGACAUCAGGAGGUUAGUGCAAUGGCAUAAGCCAGCUUGACUGCGAGCGUGACGGCGCGAGCAGGUGCGAAAGCAGGUCAUAGUGAUCCGGUGGUUCUGAAUGGAAGGGCCAUCGCUCAACGGAUAAAAGGUACUCCGGGGAUAACAGGCUGAUACCGCCCAAGAGUUCAUAUCGACGGCGGUGUUUGGCAC
rnacentral:rRNA from 1 species